rnacentral:lncRNA from 1 species
UCACAAGGAUGUAGCUGUUCAUAAAAGUUUGCGUUUGUGCAGCACUUUGGUGCAUAUUGUUGGGCAAAGUGGAGAUGUGUAUAAUGAGGCAUGGAAAACAUAAAUUCAGUUGGCUAGGAUCAUGGGGUAAGUAAUUACCCCUGUGGGAAGAUAGCAGGUGGAUUAGUUACUGGGCUGCAUCUGCAAUAAGCAAUUAAAGGAAAACAUCUGUUUCACAUCGUCCAUUUCUUCUUUUCCAGGAUACUCCUCCACUGUGUCUCUCUGAUACUGCAACCUGGAGACAAGUCACUUCUCUAAUGAGGCUGUGCAAACAUCAUGUGUUCCUACGUGGAAAGAGGUGGAGAAGGCCAGGAGCAACAGGACACACAGGUAAUCCAGUG